rnacentral:lncRNA from 1 species
UUGAUCUUCAAUCGCUCGCCAAUGGAGGAAAACCUUUACCUCCGGCCGGAGCUCGGGAAAGAACAGCGAAAAAGAACCGAGGGAGAGAAUUCAGAAUCCACAACCCGAACGGAUUGAAAUCGCAAACGAAACCCUAACGGAUCGAGAGUGAUAGAAAGAGAACUCACCGAUCCGGUGAGCCCAAUCCUGAGAGAUUCGAGUCUGACGAGCUUCUGCACCAGCGAACCUAGGAUGAUCUGCCGAACCAGAUUCGCCGCCGACGUUGCUGUGGCUACCGUCGGCUUCGGAUCGAGUUAAAUCUAGCAAGCAGAGAACCAGAUCCGGCGAGCAGAGAACCAAGAGGGGGAGGUCCGCCGAGAAAGAAUCAGAUUCGGCGGAGCCAGAAUCGCUGGCGUCGUCAUCGUCACUGUCACCGCCGUUGAUCGGCUUCGGAUCUAAGUCCCUCACCUCGAGCUCCUUCGCCGGCGGUUACUCUCUCUUCUAGGGUUUUUGGGAAGUGCAGAAGAGGAGGUCAAGAUUCAGAGAGCGAGAGUCCAAGAGAGUCCGUCCGAGAGAGAAUCCAAGAGAGCCCGUCCACCAGUGAAUCCCCCGAAAACCCUAGACGUUGAGCCACCGAUCAGAGCCUAACCCGAUCAAGAGCCAGAUCUCUCCGAGCCUUCUAUCAGCACCGCUGUCGUGGUCGUCGUCGUCAUCGUUGCCGCCGACGAUGGUUCCGAUCGACUCGAGUUGCACGCAAGGCAGGGGAAGGCGAUGGCGAUCGAUCGAUUCUCCUCUCCUCGAUCCCCCUUUUCUUUUUCUCCCUAUGAGCUCUCAGCCGAGCAAGAGAUGAAGACCG